rnacentral:rRNA from 1 species
GACGAACGCUGGCGGCGUGCCUAAUACAUGCAAGUAGAACGCUGAAGAGAGGAGCUUGCUCUUCUUGGAUGAGUUGCGAACGGGUGAGUAACGCGUAGGUAACCUGCCUUGUAGCGGGGGAUAACUAUUGGAAACGAUAGCUAAUACCGCAUAACAAUGGAUGACACAUGUCAUUUAUUUGAAAGGGGCAAUUGUUCCACUACAAGAUGGACCUGCGUUGUAUUAGCUAGUAGGUGAGGUAAUGGCUCACCUAGGCGACGAUACAUAGCCGACCUGAGAGGGUCAUCGGCCACACUGGGACUGAGACACGGCCCAGACUCCUACGGGAGGCAGCAGUAGGGAAUCUUCGGCAAUGGGGGCAACCCUGACCGAGCAACGCCGCGGGAGUGAAGAAGGUUUUCGGAUCGUAAAGCUCUGUUGUAAGUCAAGAACGGGUGUGAGAGUGGAAAGUUCACACUGUGACGGUAGCUUACCAGAAAGGGACGGCUAACUACGUG